rnacentral:lncRNA from 1 species
GUACGAUCAACAAUCAGUGCAGUUGCUGUAAGUUUCUGGUUAUAGAUCUUGAAGUUGCUGUCGAUCUUUUAUGUUCUUCUCCGAUCUGCAGUUCAUCACUUUCUGGUUAUAGAUCUUGCAGUUGCAGUCGAUCUGCAGUUCAUCACUUUCUCCGAUCUGUUCUUCUCCGAUCUCAGAGUUGCUGUCGAUCUUUUAUGUUUUGUUCAGUUGCUUGAAUUUAGAGAGAGAUAAACGUGUAGGGAGAGAUAAAG